rnacentral:rRNA from 1 species
GACGAACGCUGGCGGCGUGCUUAACACAUGCAAGUCGAACGGAAAGGCCCUGCUUUUGUGGGGUGCUCGAUUGGCGAACGGGUGAGUAACACGUGAGUAACCUGCCCUUGACUUUGGGAUAACUUCAGGAAACUGGGGCUAAUACCGGAUAGGAGCUCCUGCUGCAUGGUGGGGGUUGGAAAGUUUCGGCGGUUGGGGAUGGACUCGCGGCUUAUCAGCUUGUUGGUGGGGUAGUGGCUUACCAAGGCUUUGACGGGUAGCCGGCCUGAGAGGGUGACCGGCCACAUUGGGACUGAGAUACGGCCCAGACUCCUACGGGAGGCAGUAGUGGGGAAUAUUGCACAAUGGGCGGAAGCCUGAGGCAGCAACGCCGGGUGCGGGAUGACGGCCUUCGGGGUGUAAACCGCUUUCGCCGGUGACGAAGCGUGAGUGACGGUAAUGGGUAAAGAAGCACCGGCUAACUACGUG